GUAGUCGUGGCCGAACGGUUAAGGCGAUGGACUAGAUAAUCCAUUGGGUGGUUCUCCCCGCACAGGUUUGAGUCCUGCCGACUACG
rnacentral:tRNA from 1 species